rnacentral:rRNA from 1 species
AUGGCGCCUUCAGAAAAGAAUCUCUGUGCGAUCGUGCUGCUAAUUGUCAUCGUGGCCACCGUAUGUCCUGUGUGUUCUAUGGCGUAUGCAUGCAACCCGCCGAGUGGAUGCCGACACCUGAGCGGCAAUUAUGAAGGACCGUGCUUUGGCUUUACCGACGGUUGCGAUAAUACAUGCGUAGAUGAAAGCCCCGAUAACGUAUGGGGCGAUUGUGACUGCGACUUUAAAUGCUACUGCUAUACAUGCUAG